AAGGGCUUAGCUUAAUUAAAGUGUUUGAUUUGCAAUCAAUUGAUGUGAGAUAG
rnacentral:tRNA from 1 species